rnacentral:rRNA from 1 species
GUCGUAACAAGGUCUCCGUUGGUGAACCAGCGGAGGGAUCAUUACAGAGUUUACAACUCCCAAACCCCUGUGAACUUACCAUGUCGUUGCCUCGGCGGUGUCUUGCUUCGGCGAGCCCGCCAGAGGACCCAACAAACUCUUGUUUUUUUAGUAUUAUCUGAGUGACAAGUUUAAUAAAUCAAAACUUUCAACAACGGAUCUCUUGGUUCUGGCAUCGAUGAAGAACGCAGCGAAAUGCGAUAAGUAAUGUGAAUUGCAGAAUUCAGUGAAUCAUCGAAUCUUUGAACGCACAUUGCGCCCGCCAGUAUUCUGGCGGGCAUGCCUGUUCGAGCGUCAUUUCAACCCUCAAAACCCCGGUUUUGGUGUUGGAGAUCGGCAUGAGUCCUUCGGGGCGACGCCGUCUCCCAAAUAUAGUGGCGGUCUCGCUGUAGCUUCCUAUGCGUAGUAGCACACCUCGCACUGGAAAACAGCGUGCCCACGCCGUUAAACCCCCAACUUUCUGAAGUUUGACCUCGAAUCAGGUAGGAUUACCCGCUGAACUUAAGCAUAUCAAUA